ensembl:snRNA Rnu6-546 RNA, U6 small nuclear 546
GUGCUCACUUCGGCAGCACAUAUACUAAAAUUGGAAUGAUACAAAAAAAUUAGCAUGGCCCCUGUGCAAGGAUGACUCACAAGUUCGUGAAGCUUUCCAUAUUUAG